rnacentral:rRNA from 1 species
UGUAGGCGGUGCGGUAAGUUGGGCGUGAAAUCCCCGAGCUUAACUCGGGUGGGCCGUUCAAGACUGCCGUGCUAGGGUGCGGGAGAGGGAAGUGGAAUUUCCGGUGUAGCGGUGAAAUGCGUAGAUAUCGGGAGGAACACCUGCGGCGAAGGCGGCUUCCUGGACCGUAACCGACGCUGAGGCGCGAAAGCUAGGGGAGCAAACAGGAUUAGAUACCCUGGUAGUCCUAGCCCUAAACGAUGAGCACUGGGUGUGGCCCCUCACGAGGCCGUGCCGAAGCUAACGCAUUAAGUGCUCCGCCUGGGGAGUACGGUCGCAAGGCUGAA